CUGCCAGCUCUUCAGGGCACAUAUACUAAAACUGGAAUGAUACAGAGACAAUUAGUAUGGUUCCUGAGCAAGACUGAUAUGCAGAUUUCUAAACAUAGUAGCAGUGGUC